CUCUCAACCCUCUGCUUCUCUCUCUGCUGCACUCGGGUGGCGUGUCUGCUGGUCCCAGGCCCGUCGAUGGCCAGGAGCGGGGUGGGCGACCGCUCCGGCUCCCCACCUACGAAGGGCUCCCGAAUUUCGGGAUUUUCACAGCCCAAGGUCCAGUCGUCAGACAAUUCCGUGCUAACAAAUCGUCACAGGCUCACAGCGAGCUGCCGUCCUGUCCCGUCCCGUCCCGUACCUGCAUUGCGUGUCACGCCUGGCGCAUCCCUUCCGCCUUCCCCGUCAGCCGUCCACGACCUCACGAUCUGUGAUCCUGUCGGCCGCAGCUGCUGCCGACGGUGAGCCCCUCGCGCUGGCCUCUGCCUUGAACCAGUCCGUGCCGUGCAUGUCUUCUAGGUGCCUCUGCCUUGAACCAAGGGCAAGCUGCGAAGGCCUGAAUCCAACUUGAGGCAUGUAUUGCCGUUAGCAUGGAGGUAAUAAUACUAACUACACAGAUGAUGCAUGAGGGCCCCAUCUAGCAUUUUGCACUGGGGCCCCAAAUUUCUGGAGACGACCCUGGCUGGUCCGAAGAGGGAGUGCCCUGGAUCCCGGGUGGCUGUGGCUCUCGUACACGCACGCAUCCUUCUCCAAUUCAUAUGUCUGCACUUCGACCCGCGAAGCGAUCGGGCAUGGUUUCUGAACUCGGAACCUGCAUUUCGUUGCAGCAAUAUGCAUUAGCGUUGCCAGUUGCAACGGCGAUCAUUCCAAUUUCUGAGCCAAUGGGUUUUAUAUUUUUCUUUUUUCCCCUUCUCUCGCUGUUGUGUGGCUGAUGACUGAUGCUUCCUUAUCGUUGCGACCUGCAAAUGGCGGUGCUGUUUUCUUAGUUCUUACCAGUGGACCUGGCUUUGCAUU